UUUUCCUAAUAUCUGACCUAAAUCUCUUACUGCAGAUUAAGCCCAUUACUUCUUGCCCUACCUUCAGUGGACAUGGAGAACAUUUGAUCACUGUCCUCUUUAUAACAGCCCUUAACACAUUUGAAUACUGUUAUCAGGCCCCACCUCUGUUUUCUUGUCUCAAGACUAAGCAUGCCCAGUUUUUUAACGCUUCCUCAUAGAUUGGCUUUUCUAAAUUUUUCAUCAUUUUAUUGUUCUCCUCCGGAUUCUUUCCAAUUUGUCCACAUCUUUCCUGAAGUGUGGCACCCAGAACUGGACGCAGUACUCCAGCUGAGGUCUCACCAGGGCCGAGUAGAGAGAAAAAAUUACCUUCUGUGUCUUACAUACAACAGUCCUGUUCAUGUACCCCAGAAAAAUAGCAGCUUUUUUCCCACAACGGCAUCACAUUGUUGUCUCCUAUUCAAAAUGUGAUCCACUAUAACCCCCAGAUCCUUUUCAGCAGUGCUACCACCUAGCCGGUUAUUCCCCAUUUUGUAGCUGUGCAUUUGAUUUUUGCUUCUUAAGUGUAGUACUUUGCACUUGUCUUUAUUUAAUUUAAUCUUGUUCAUUUCAGACAAACUCUCUCAAUUUGUCAAGAUCGUUUUGAAUUCUAAGCCUGUCCUCCAAAGUACUGGCAACCCCUUCCAGUUUUGUGUCAUCUGCAAAUUUUGGUUUGCCAGCAGCAUGACUUGGGUGAUGGCAGCGGGUGCCUGGAUGGGGUUGAAUGGAGAAAGUUCUGUACCCGAGGGUGGCUGCAACUUCACUUUCAUGGACUGCAAAUGUGAAACAAAAGGAACCCUCAGAACAACAUUGGGUCACUUGAACUCCAUGACGCCUGGAUACUGGAGUGGAUGGACACAUCAGAAUUUCAUUAAUAGGUAGGGUUGGAUGUAUAUGUGCAUGUAGACAACUUGCGAUAAGUGCCAGAUUGACAACCCUGGAGACAGUCCUCUAUAUCCAUAGAUCAGAUAUUACAAAGACAGCAGCAAUUCGAGCUUCUCCCUCAGCAAUCCCUGAUGCAGAGUGCCCCCUUGAGGAGUGAGAAGGUAGUUCAUUCCCCAUGGUUCAUUUGAUCCUUGCCCUUUCUGCUAUUAUAUUCCAACUAGGGAACCAACUAUAGAGGUUUUGUGAUGCAAACACCUGCUAACUAGGACCCAGAGUGAGACUCACCAACAAAUUCAUUUCACACAGCCCACCCAACAGCCACUGGAUGAUAUCAACUUUCAGUUACUCUGGACCGGAUGUGACUGGCAAUCCUAAAGGUGAAAGGUUCUAGACCUCAUUGCUAAUUCCCUUGAGUCAUUCAGUCCCCAAAGCUUCAAGCACAGAUGAGGAGGCUGGUUUAAAUAGUUGAACUAGUGCAAUACUAAUGGAGAGUGAAAGAACAAAUCCAGCGAUUCUGCUGUUCACGAGUCACUAAAGCUAUGCACCAGCUGGUGUUAAAAUGUUUACAAAUGACAAAACAAGCCCCUUAUAAUUAUCAUUACUACAGGGGUUUCUUAAAUAAUUCUAUUGUGUUUUCUUACCUCUUUUACCAUUGAUUUAAUAAGCUUGUUUGCCUCUUGUAAGUCAUCUGGGUUUUUGCUUUUUAACAGUUUGGCUAAAAGCUGUAAGAAGAGAAGAGAACUUUUUAGGGAAAAGUAGCCUCUUAAUAAAGGGAGGCAGAAAGAUCAUGUAUCCAAUGGCUGCUGCACUGGAGAAAGGGAAGUGGACAGUUCAGAGAAAGCAGACUUAGGUCAAAGCUUUUUCAGCUACAGUAACUUCCUUAGGAGUCAUUCAAUGGGUUUGCUAUUUUGUUUUUUGUUAAAUUACCAGAUUUUCAUUCAUGUACAGUACAAGCACAUUGGGAUCUUGGAGACUUUCUGAUACUAGACAAGAAUUCCUCCCAGUGCAGAAAGGUGAAAAGCUUUUCCUCUCCUCCAUUACAGCAGUUGGAGAGCGACUUAACUAGAAAUGGCCAGACAGUGACAACACUGAGAUGGUCUCUAACUCAGGAUUUCAACUCUGAGUCUCCAAGAGCAGCACCUAAGAGCUCCAGUCAUGGACCAGGACCUCAUUAUGUUAGACGCCUUAUGAACACAGGACAAAAAGACAGUCAGAUUGGACAGAAUAAUGUACAACUGGGAACUGUUCAGCACUGGCUGGGAGAUGGACUAACCAAGACUUUUUCUACCUUAACCUUCCAGGAUUCUGUGAAUAGAGAGUGACUUGCCCUUAAAGAUAUGAUUCCAAAUAGUGAAGUCUGUAACAGUUCCUGUUAUAAAAUCUUUUUAAAAGAGAAACUCUAUUUAUUUCAUCUGAAGCCUGUAACUCCUACUGUGAAAUGAUAGCUCUGAAUAAGGCCUGGGUUUCCCAUGACAGUAUAACGUAUCAGAGAGACACAGUCGGUGAGGUUGUAGCUGUUGUAGCUCAAAAGCUUCUC